AGGCUAGUGUUAUGGAAACCACAGAAGACAAACCAUGAGCAAACUUGGACACAGAAAUCAGAGAUGUAGCUCAAGCUUCUUUGAAUGAGUAUGCUUUCCCUUCCUGCUCACUAAAUGUUGCUACCAUUUUCUGAAACAGUGGAGGAACAGAAGUGCUGUGAGCUUAUCAGAUGGAUGCAUGGUGCAUAGGGCCCUCGCUUUUCAGGAGUUUGCUUUUGUGUUUUGCUGACUUCCAUGGCAACCAUCAAACAAGUUUUGUGGAAAAGAAAAUCUCACCAGAACUAUCCUAGCUUGGAUGAUUAGGCUUCUUUGGAAGCCAAUGCCCUUUGCUGGUUUUAGUGUGUUGAUCCCUUUUAAAA